rnacentral:lncRNA from 1 species
UUCACGGUAUAACUAAAUUUUUUUUUAAAUAUAGAAAAUUCAUUUGAACCUUGGUUAGAAACGCUCAUUAUUGAUAAAUAGCCCAGGUCAAGAAGGUUUCAGUCUGUAUAUAGAUUAUUGACAUUCCUUUACAAAAGAGAGAAAAAAAAACAGACAAAAGGAUGAAAGAAAAGUUCCAAUGAAUUAUCUCUAUAUAAGUAAUUGCAUCAGCCAAAACAAAGUUUUAUUUUUUUAGUACCUUUUUAUUCUAACAUAUAGGGCCCCGCAGUCUGUCACCCUCUUUCAAAAUGAAUCUGCAGGAAAGAGAAGAGUCAAAAGAUGCCUCUAAUAGGGUACCAAAUUAGCACAUGGAAAAAGCAAACAUGUCCCACUCAUUAUGAAUUGUUAAUGGCCUGUUUACUGCUGAAGCUGUCACAAAAAACAAGUCUGGAUGGAACACCAGACUGUGGUUCCAGAAAACCAGCCUUGCAAAAAUGGGCAACCUCUUCAGAAUUGGUGAAAUAAUGAGAAAGAAGAAUUGCCCAGAACUUCAUGGAGCUGAGCCAUUUACCCAUCCUGGAAUAUCCACCUUCCAUGGAAUUUUUUUUAAUGUUUUUUCUUCUUCUUUAACCCACUAAUUAUCUCUCUUUUCCUCUCUCUCUGUCUCAUCUCCACUCCUUUCCACAACAACAUAGACUGUAUAUGAGUAUAUAUUUUAGCAUAUUGAAUAAUAAAGUACAUACACAAAUAUUUAUGGAACUGCUCAAUUAGAAAAAAAGGACAUUUAAUA